rfam:Salmo salar isolate Sally breed double haploid chromosome ssa10, whole genome shotgun sequence.
UCAAUGUAUUGUUGUAAGUCGCUCUGGAUAAGAGCGUCUGCUAAAUGACGUAAA